rnacentral:rRNA from 1 species
UGAGGAAUAUUGGUCAAUGGGCGCAAGCCUGAACCAGCCAUGCCGCGUGCAGGAAGACGGUCCUAUGGAUUGUAAACUGCUUUUGUACGGGAAGAAACACUCCUACGUGUAGGAGCUUGACGGUACCGUAAGAAUAAGGAUCGGCUAACUCCGUGCCAGCAGCCGCGGUAAUACGGAGGAUCCAAGCGUUAUCCGGAAUCAUUGGGUUUAAAGGGUCCGUAGGCGGUUUGAUAAGUCAGUGGUGAAAGCCCAUCGCUUAACGAUGGAACGGCCAUUGAUACUGUCAGACUUGAAUUACUGGGAAGUAACUAGAAUAUGUAGUGUAGCGGUGAAAUGCUUAGAUAUCCAAGGGAACGCCGGUGGCGAAAGCGGGGUUCUGGGCCGAUUCUGACGCUGAGGCACGAAAGCGUGGGGAGCAAACAGGAUUAGAUACCCUGGUAGUCCACGCUGUAAACGAUGCGCACUAGGUAUCAGCACCUCUGACGGAGUUGGUGCCG